rnacentral:rRNA from 1 species
UUAAAUUUGAUCCUGCUCAGAACGAACGCGGGCGGCGCGUUUUAAGCAUCCAAGUCGAACCGGUAAGCAGUUUUCGGACUGCCUAGAGUGGCGAACGGGUGAGUAACACGUAGGUGAUCUGCCCGGAGGUUGGGAUAGCUCGUGGAAACACGGGGUAAUACCGAAUAUGUUCAAUCGGCUAUGGCUGAAUGAACAAAGGGGCUUCGGCCUCGCCUCCGGAUGAGCCUGCGUCCUAUUAGCUAGUUGGUGGGGUAAAGGCCUACCAAGGCAACGAUAGGUAGCCGGCCUGAGAGGGUGGACGGCCACACUGGGACUGAGAUACGGCCCAGACUCCUACGGGAGGCAGCAGCUAAGAAUCUUCCGCAAUGGACGAAAGUCUGACGGAGCGACGCCGCGUGGGUGAAGAAGGCCGGAAGGUUGUAAAGCCCUUUUCUACGUGAGGAAUAACCACAGGAGGUAAUGCCUGUGGGAAGACGGAGCGAGGAAUAAGCCCCGCCAU